rnacentral:rRNA from 1 species
AUUGAACGCUGGCGGCAUGCUUUACACAUGCAAGUCGAACGGCAGCGCGGGGCAACCUGGCGGCGAGUGGCGAACGGGUGAGUAAUACAUCGGAACGUACCCAGAAGUGGGGGAUAACGUAGCGAAAGUUACGCUAAUACCGCAUACGUUCUACGGAAGAAAGUGGGGGACCUUCGGGCCGCAUGCUUUUGGGGCGGCCGAUGUCUGAUUAGCUAGUUGGUAGGGUAAAGGCCUACCAAGGCGACGAUCAGUAGCUGGUCUGAGAGGACGACCAGCCACACUGGGACUGAGACACGGCCCAGACUCCUACGGGAGGCAGCAGUGGGGAAUUUUGGACAAUGGGCGCAAGCCUGAUCCAGCAAUGCCGCGUGAGUGAAGAAGGCCUUCGGGUUGUAAAGCUCUUUUGUCAGGGAAGAAACGGCUGAGGUUAAUACCUUUGGCUAAUGACGGUACCUGAAGAAUAAGCACCGGCUAACUACGUGCCAGCCGCCGCCGUAACAC